UGGCGGACGGGUGAGUAACGCGUGGGUAACCUGCCUCAUACAGGGGGAUAACAGUUGGAAACGACUGCUAAUACCGCAUAAGCGCACAGGAUUGCAUGAUCCGGUGUGAAAAACUCCGGUGGUAUGAGAUGGACCCGCGUCUGAUUAGCCAGUUGGCAGGGUAACGGCCUACCAAAGCGACGAUCAGUAGCCGACCUGAGAGGGUGACCGGCCACAUUGGGACUGAGACACGGCCCAAACUCCUACGGGAGGCAGCAUG
rnacentral:rRNA from 1 species